rnacentral:rRNA from 1 species
CCUACGGGAGGCAGCAGUGGGGAAUAUUGCACAAUGGGGGAAACCCUGAUGCAGCGACGCCGCGUGAGUGAAGAAGUCUUUCGGUAUGUAAAGCUCUAUCAGCAGGGAAGAAAAUGACGGUACCUGAUUAAGAAGCCACGGCUAACUACGUGCCAGCAGCCGCGGUAAUACGUAGGGGGCAAGCGUUAUCCGGAUGUACUGGGGGUAAAGGGAGCGUAGGCGGCAGGACAAGUCAGGAGUGAAAUGCCCGGGCUUAACCCCGGAACUGCUUUGGAAACUGGCCAGCUAGAGUGCAGGAGAGGUAGGUGGAAUUCCUGGUGUAGCGGUGAAAUGCGUAGAGAUUAGGAGGAACACCGGUGGCGAAGGCGGCUUACUGGAC